rnacentral:lncRNA from 1 species
CUUGGGUCAUUUCUGGGGAAGAGCUAAAUCUUCUUGACUCUUUUUUUUUUUUUAGUUAAUUCCAAGCCCCAGAUCAAUGGAAUCCUCUUCAGCCCAACUGCUUCCUAUGCUUGGUCCUGCGUUAGGGCUUUUGGUUCAAUGCACACCAAAGAAGCUGUUGGAAGGUUCUCAGAUGUGGGGAGAUGGAGAGCUUUGUUGAGUAUGCGUAGAUAAAAAAAUGUAAACUUGAAAUGCCUGCUAGGAUUCCUUCUCACUGUUAGCUUGAAGCCUGGUGUUAUGCUAAAUAAUUAGAUAGCAAAGGAGUAAGGGCAGUGAGAGUAUUCCCAAGCAGUGCUCUUUGUUGUUUUUUGCCCAAGUCUUUCCUCAGUGCUCAUCAAGCUGACAGCUUCCCAGAUUCUGGGCUGUGCUCUUUAGAGGCUUUUGCUCUUUGCUCUGGGUGAGGCCCAGCCAUCCUCAUGUCCAUCCUUGCUCCAUUCUCAGGGGCAAGCGCUGGCUGUCUGUCUCUGCCCCUCCAGACCCACACUUCGUUUUCUCCUUUCUGUUCUGUGCCUUGGAAGCUGACUCCUGUGCACAGCCUCAACCAAGCACUGUUGCCUUUGGGAUUCCUGGUGAGUUCAACACAUGGAGGACACUGGACAGCAGGACAAGAGACACAGCUGGCAAAUAUUGCGCUGGCUCCUUCUCUCCCAGCUAUGGAAGAUCACAGAUCCCACUGCAGCCAUGGUCAUGAUUACAGCUCUUCUGGGAUCUGGCACCUACCUGUUCCUUCAACCCCUGCUGUUGCCAGCCCUCAGCUCAGCCUGACUGCAUAAAAACCAGACACAGUUCUCUGGUCUCUCAACCUGCUACCUCCCUGAACCAAGAAAGAAUGUUAAUAAGGAAACCUGAAAAUACUUAAUCUGAGUCACAAUAUCAGAGGAACACAUUCAUCUUGGUGUAACUCUCACUAAAAAAAUAAAAAUUCUCA